UUACAGCAGACAAGCCACCUACUAUUGUGCUUCUGGGAGGCAACGAAGAGAACCUGGAGGAAACAUAGAGGACAUGGUGCAACACCGCAAGUAUGCUGCAGGGCGUACAAGAGAUCCAGAACACGGACCUGUGCUGGACCCAGAGCCGAUCCUAGAGGAACACCGACUCAAUCAUCAUCUACAUGGUCAGUCAACCUAAAUGCAGAGAUCGAAGGCACAGGACCUUGAGACACAAGCAGACGAUUCACACCGUGAAGCUACGUGAGCUCAGAAAUAUCACAAUACACACUUAACUUUUUUUUCUAAUACACUUUAUUCUUUAGUUUACAUGUGCUAUACAUUUCAAAUGGACUAGCGUGAUGUCUCAUCAUUGCUGUUUCCACAAAGGAUAUUUUAACGGCGACUGGAGAUGACCACGUCACUUUGUGUGUGAUGGUAUGUGAGGGUCUGUUGACCUUUCUGUGGUAUUUUUAAUAAAGAGA